ensembl:snRNA U4 U4 spliceosomal RNA
AGCUUUGCACAGUGGCAGUAUCGGAGCCAAUGAGGUUUAUCCGAGGCGCGAUUAUUGCUAAUUGAAAAAAAAAAUCACUGUACUAAGAUGUCUCAAAGUAUUGAGUAGAGAAAUAUUCAAUAGAUUGGAGUUGGUAAUGCAA